UUCUUUCCCCCGAGUUACUAUGCUGAGCAAUGUUUGGAGGGCCACAAAUCUGACACAGACAGUAGUUUGUUACCAUAGUAUGAUAGUUUAUGAGGGCCAUGUUGAACAGCAGGAGUUAAUCAAUGGAUGGCGUCCAGAAGUGGCCUGUUUACAAUGAUGCAAUAUUAUGCUGACAAUGGAUUAGCUGUAGAUAGGGCGUAUUAAACAAAUGAGCCUAGUAACAUUUUAGUAGUACUUAGCUUUACAAUCUGUCAUUGUGUAAACUGCUGAUUUGGAAGCCCACCAAGUUCCUUCCCGAGUUUUUUUAAUCUGCAGUGCAUCACAGCAAAGGCCAAACUACAGUUCUGCAAUAGAAUUUUUGAAAAACGGCAGCUGAAGGGAUUCUGACAUUAACAGUUUAUCAACCUUUUUAACAGAACCCUGGAUUAGGAAAGGUAUAUUCUCUUACCAACUAUGUUAUCAAAAUGAUUUUGCUUUUUGAAGCAGAGGUUUUGCUGCAGCAACAGGGCUGGAGGAGUUCUACAUGUGCUGCCAAGGAAGGAAAUGCUGUCAAGGAAUUGCUACAGUCUGUCUGUUGGUAGCAGACAUACCCUGCCAACAAGGUGACAAGCAGAGAAAACUCCUUGGAAAAUCGCAUUGCAAGAGACCCAACCUAAACAGGCCACAGUUCUACAAAAACAAUAUCGUUCGGACUCUGCUGUGAUGCACUGCAGAUUAAAAGAACUAAUAUGGAUCUUGGAUCUUCGCAACACAUUUCUGGCAUCCAAGGGAUUAACUGUUGUGCAAAGGGAUUGCAAAUUGUGCAGCUUUCCAUUAUGGAAAGAUCCGAUAUCCAGAAAACCCCAGGUCCCGAUCAUUCUGGAUAAUGGAUCCUAUACCUGUAUUUCCCUUUAAUAGUAUACAGUGAAACUGUUCUGGGAAUAAAGAUCUUUCCAAUUUUAAUCUCCCUUUUUCUUCAAGAACUACGCAACACAUAACAUUUCUGGCAUCCAAGGGAUUAACUGUUGUGCAAAGAUGCAUGCCUACCAUCUCAUUGCUUAAAGAAGCCACCUAAUUACCUACCAAGGAAAGAAAAUUCCACAAAAUCAAUAAGGGGAGAAAUUAAAGUUACAAAUCUAACUGAAGCCAGACGGGAUCCCUUGUGAAAAUCUGUUCCUGGGGUAUCUGAGUUUAUCUAGUGUCAUAAUUUUAUUGAAAUCCUAUAUCUUCCUAUUGACUUUUAUGGUUUCCAGCUAGAUGCAAAGGUUAUCAUUAUUGGACGCUCAAUGCUGCUCUAAGGGACAGAAAGAGGGGCUUUUUCUACCCUGUUCUCUAAACAAGCUGUAAUUGCCUGUUUUAUUGAUCAAUAAAUCUCAAAGCUGCCUCCA